rnacentral:rRNA from 1 species
UACGUAGGGUGCAAGCGUUGUCCGGAAUUAUUGGGCGUAAAGAGCUCGUAGGCGGUUUGUCGCGUCUGCUGUGAAAACGCGAGGCUCAACCUCGCGCCUGCAGUGGGUACGGGCAGACUAGAGUGCGGUAGGGGAGAUUGGAAUUCCUGGUGUAGCGGUGGAAUGCGCAGAUAUCAGGAGGAACACCGAUGGCGAAGGCAGAUCUCUGGGCCGUAACUGACGCUGAGGAGCGAAAGCGUGGGAGGCGAACAG